AGAGUUUGAUCCUGGCUCAGGAUGAACGCUGGCGAGAUGCCUUACACAUGCAGGUCGUACGAGAAUUUUUAAUUCAAGUGGCGGACGGGUGAGUAACACGUAAGAAUUUGCCUUUAGGAGGGGGACAACAACUGGAAACGGUUGCUAAUACCCCAUAUGCUUUCGAGUGAAAUGGAGAUUUCCGCCUAAAGAGAAGCUUGCGGCUGAUUAGCUUGUUGGUAAGGUAAUGGCUUACCAAGGCGACGAUCAGUAUCUGGUUUGAGAGGAUGAUCAGACACACUGGAACUGAGACACGGUCCAGACUCCUACGGGAGGCAGCAGUGGGGAAUUUUCCGCAAUGGGCGAAAGCCUGACGGAGCAAUCUCGCGUGAGGGAUGACGGCCUAUGGGUUGUAAACCUCUUUUUUCAGGGAGGAACAAAAUGACGUGUACCUGAAGAAUAAGCAUCGGCUAACUCCGUGCCAGCAGCCGCGGUAAGACGGAGGAUGCAAGUGUUAUCCGGAAUCACUGGGCGUAAAGCGUCUGUAGGUGGUUUAAUAAGUCAACUGUUAAAUCUUGAAGCUCAACUUCAAAAUCGCAGUCGAAACUAUUAGACUAGAGUAUAGUAGGGGUAAAGGGAAUUUCCAGUGUAGCGGUGAAAUGCGUAGA
rnacentral:rRNA from 1 species